rnacentral:lncRNA from 1 species
UUUAUAUUUAUCUUGACCCGUUUAACGUCAUCAUCUCACAGCCAUAAGGGGAUCGGGUCAGUCUAUCAUUCCGGCUGAAUCCCAGGGGCUAUUCCGGAAUACCUGCUUUUUUCUUUUUUAUUUUCUAAUAAUUUUGGGGUUUCAUAUUAAUUUUACGGAAAUUGGGAAAUUCUAAACCGUAUAUGGAUAUGAAUCCGACACGUGUGAGGAUGGACGAGUUGCACGUGUGAGGUGCGUGGACGCGGGGCCCGCCCGUUAUGGGAAAACGGGUUUUUUGAUGGAGUGAUUUUUUGUUGGUUAGGCAGUAAUACCGACUAAUACGUACAGGAAAGGGUGUGGGAUGGGCAUGGCACAUGAACGUUCCCCAAGAUGAAUCAUAUUCUGCGUGACUCUCUCCUUUGUUUUUAUUUAUGUACUCGAUUUCCAACCUCCAUCUCUUUUAUCUUUUUCUCCAUCUUUAUUUACUUAUUACUUAUAUGGGUAAAUUACAACCAUAUCCCUGAGGUAUGAUCGAAUUAUGUAAAAUCCGUCAAUGUUUGGAUAAUUACAUCUAAUCCUCAACUAUGAAUUUUCUUAGUAUAUACAUCUAUUAUUAUGGUGUUAAUUCAAACUUAAUCUUCUAUAUUUCAUGAAUGUCCUCUAAUUUGUAUUCGUUUUGUGUGAAAAUGCAGUUUCUGAUGCACCACAAUCAGAUAUUUACAAGCCAAAAGACACAUCUUAUGAUAAUUUUGCUCUCAAAUAGUGAAACUCGAAUGGGAUAAACCAGGUACAAAAUUGUGAAUAUUGCAUAUAAUCUAGAAGAUUCCACUAAAUUCGACACCGCAAUGGUGGACGUGUAAGAAAAUUUAUAGUUGAGGGUGGUUAUAAUAGCCUAAAACAAGAUGCGUUUUUCCGUAAUUGAACCAUACUUCAAGGGGUGGUUGUAAUUUGAAGAAAAAAAAAUUAGUAGAAUUAGUUAGUGUCCCUUAGCUAGAGGUAUUUUGUAAUAUUUUAAGAAUACGAGGGGUCUAUAUGUAAUUAUACGAGAUGCAUGUCGAC